rnacentral:rRNA from 1 species
GGCGUGCCUAACACAUGCAAGUCGAACGAGAAAGCUCCUUCGGGAGUGAGUAGAGUGGCGCACGGGUGAGUAACACGUGGAUAAUCUGCCUGAUAAUCUGGGAUAACAUUUCGAAAGGGAUGCUAAUACCGGAUAAGCCCACAGUCUCUUCGGAGACAGCGGGAAAAGAUGGCCUCUUCUUGAAAGCUAUUGUUAUCAGAUGAGUCCGCGGUCCAUUAGCUAGUUGGUAGGGUAAUGGCCUACCAAGGCAACGAUGGAUAGCUGGUUUGAGAGAAUGAUCAGCCACACUGGAACUGAGACACGGUCCAGACUCCUACGGGAGGCAGCAGUGGGGAAUUUUGCGCAAUGGGGGAAACCCUGACGCAGCAACGCCGCGUGAGUGAUGAAGGUUUUCGGAUCGUAAAGCUCUGUCAGGAGGGAAGAAACCUCAAUAGGCUAAUACCUUAUUGAAUUGACGGUACCUCCAGAGGAAGCACCGGCUAACUCCGUGCCAGCAGCCGCGGUAAUACGGAGGGUGCAAGCGUUGUUCGGAAUUAUUGGGCGUAAAGCGCGUGUAGGCGGUUAGUUAAGUCUGAUGUGAAAGCCCCGGGCUCAACCUGGGAAGUGCAUUGAAAACUGGCAAACUUGAGUACGGGAGAGGGAAGUGGAAUUUCGAGUGUAGGGGUGAAAUCCGUAGAUAUUCGAAGGAACACCAGUGGCGAAGCGGCUUCCUGGACCGAUACUGACGCUGAGACGCGAAAGCGUGGGGAGCAAACAGGAUUAGAUACCCUGUAGUCCACGCCGUAAACGAUGGGUACUAGUGUUGCGGGUAUUGACCCCUGCAGUGCCGAAGCUAACGCAUUAAGUACCCCGCCUGGGGAGUA